rnacentral:rRNA from 1 species
AACGAACGUUAGCGGCGCGCUUAACACAUGCAAGUCGCACGAGAAAGGGCUUCGGCCCCGGUAAAGUGGCGCACGGGUGAGUAACACGUGGGUAAUCUUCCCUCGAGCGGGGGAUAACAUUCCGAAAGGAGUGCUAAUACCGCAUAAGACCACGUCUUCGAAAGAAGAUGAGGUAAAAGCCGGCCUCUAUACAUAAGCUGGCACUUGAGGAUGAGCCCGCGGCCCAUCAGGUUGUUGGCAGGGUAAUGGCCUACCAAGCCUAAGACGGGU